CUUUUGUCUCUGCUGCCUGUGAAGAGAAGAGUGCACGCACGAGUUGGAUCACUUAACAAAAGCAACAUAUGAAAGUGCACAUGCAAAAUUAUUGCAAGAGGAACGUAGACAUACUGACGUAAGUACAGAGCCUGAGUGUUCGGACAGUAUGGGCCAGGGGAAGCGAAAAAAGCGGCCAGUUGUCAUGUCCAGCGAAGAUGAGGAGAAUGAUGACAUCCAUCCUCUUCCUCCUCCAGCCGGGGCUCUGCGAAUGCCUCCACCUCUUCCUCCUCCAGCCGGGGCUCUGCGAACGCCUCCACCUCUUCCUCCUCCAGCCGGGGCUCUGCGAACGCCUCCACC